rnacentral:rRNA from 1 species
UACGUAGGUGGCAAGCGUUGUCCGGAUUUACUGGGCGUAAAGGGCGUGCAGGCGGUCUGUUAAGUCUAGGGUGAAAGCUCCCGGCUCAACUGGGAGAGGUCCCUGGAUACUGGCGGACUUGAGGGAGGCAGAGGAAAGUGGAAUUCCCGGUGUAGUGGUGAUAUGCGUAGAUAUCGGGAGGAACACCAGUGGCGAAGGCGGCUUUCUGGGCCUUACCUGACGCUGAGACGCGAAAGCGUGGGGAGCGAACCGG